AUGAGCUGGUUCAUCUUGGGCGUCGUUCUUCUUGCCAGAGGCGUGCCAGCGGUGGCGGAGUUCGCCGGCGGCUGCGCGAUGCUCCGGGCCGUGUGUCGGCCUAUGGAGGUGCGCGGCGCGGCGAGGAGGCCGCGGUGGCUGCGGCGGCACGGUGAGGAGGCCACGGAGGACCUGCGUGGUGGCGGCUUCAACGAUGACGACGACGCGGCGAGCGCGUCGUGGCGGCUCGGCGCGACAACGGCGGAGGCGCGUGGCACAGAGCGGUGGCGCUCGUGUCGGAUGCGUCAGGCGCGUGUAUGGGCGCGCGCCGGGUGUGUCAGGCCCGGCGGGACCGUGGUGUAG
rnacentral:rRNA from 1 species